UUAUCAUUUGAAUUCUGAUCACCAAUCGCUUCCAUAGGUAACAGGUAUAGCAGUGUUAACCACCCUCAGACAUGUAAGUAGUGUUUUGGGGGUCCUGAUCAGCUUUUUACGGACUCAGAGCAUUAUUGGACUCUGCAAACGGCUGACAUUGUUGUGGUUAGCCUCUCUCUAGGUUUUGUUACUUUGCAUUUGUUUUGUUGGUGUGAGAAGCUUGAACGGUGCUAAAGUUCGUGUUUAUGGCCGUGGUUCGAGAAGGUCUAAUGAAUGUAAAAUCUGCUUUGUUACAGUAUCUGAGCUUUAUAAGACUGCUAACUUCCUGGUUAACACAACUGUUGUUGUUCUCUUUCUACUCUCUUAUCCACCUCUGCGUAAAACUGCUUUGUUACGUGGUGAUUUUUUAUCGAUGUAGUAAGCCGGACCAUUGCUAAAGUAUUGGUAAUUGAUCUAAACAGCUUGGCCAGUGUUCAGGUGGUGUUGUUUAAUCAUAGCACUGACUGCAAAAGAAUGGGUUAACCCAUAUAUAUAUAGGCUAUUCAAUAACACGAGACACGUAAAGAUGUGUGCAGCAGGCACUUUGUUUUGAAAAAUAUGUGUGGUCUAAAUAUUUAGCUAUUAACAAGAAGACAGUGAAUUUGUGAUUCAUGUUACAUUGCCAUGCUAAAUUUGCUAUUUUUCUGUCUCUUUGUUGUAAGUACAUCACAGCAGAUUACACAGAACACAAGCUCCAGUAUCCUAAUGAGUGUACCAAGGUUCCAUGAUGAGGUUGGGUGGCAGACAGACUCCCCACAAGUCUCAGAGGCCACACAGACAUACCUACCUCCAAAGGGGUCACACACAGUUGGCCUGGGGUACACUAAGGGACAAGCAAAGGAUACGUCUAGGACUUGAUGGCACUGGUGUUGGAGGAGAUGUUUCAGGAACCAGAACCAUUCAUGGAGGAGCUGCAGAAAAUACCUGGCUCUCAAAAGAAGGAGGGGUGGCUCGACACGUGUCCAGGUGUAGUCAAGGGGCGGAAGCCAACAUACUGUCCAGUCGGGUCAGGAAACUCGGGGUGAAUCCUCAGGACGACACACGACAGGAUAACCACUCCAACCACUGCAAAGUGUCUGCACAGCCUGUAUGGAGACAAUAUAGUUGGAUGUAAAAAUUUUACUUCUCAUUGUAUAUUUACACGUAUAGUUCUACACAUUUAAAUGUUUUUUUAACCUUAGCUGAGAAUAAAGAACUUUCAACAAAU